UGAGGAAUAUUGGUCAAUGGAGGCAACUCUGAACCAGCCAAGUCGCGUGAAGGAUGAAGGUCUUAUGGAUUGUAAACUUCUUUUGUAAGGGAAUAAAGUGAGCCACGUGUGGUUUUUUGCAUGUACCUUACGAAUAAGGAUCGGCUAACUCCGUGCCAGCAGCCGCGGUAAUACGGAGGAUCCGAGCGUUAUCCGGAUUUAUUGGGUUUAAAGGGUGCGCAGGCGGGAUGUUAAGUCGGCGGUGAAAUUUUGCGGCUCAACCGUAAAAGUGCCUUCGAAACUGGCAUUCUUGAGUAUGGAUGAAGUAGGCGGAAUUUGUGGUGUAGCGGUGAAAUGCUUAGAUAUCACGAGGAACUCCGAUUGCGCAGGCAGCUUACUAAACCAUAACUGACGCUCAUGC
rnacentral:rRNA from 1 species